rnacentral:tRNA from 1 species
GGGCGAUUAGCUCAGUUGGCCAGAGCGCCUCCCUUACACGGAGGAAGUCGCUGGUUCGAGUCCAGCAUCGCCCACCA